rnacentral:rRNA from 1 species
GACGAACGCUGGCGGCGUGCCUAAUACAUGCAAGUCGAGCGGAACCAUUGGAGCUUGCUCCUUUGGUUUAGCGGCGGACGGGUGAGUAACACGUGGGCAACCUGCCCUGCAGAUCGGGAUAACUCCGGGAAACCGGUGCUAAUACCGAAUAGUUUGCGGCCUCUCAUGAGGCUGCACGGAAAGACGGUUUCGGCUGUCACUGCAGGAUGGGCCCGCGGCGCAUUAGCUAGUUGGUGAGGUAACGGCUCACCAAGGCCACGAUGCGUAGCCGACCUGAGAGGGUGAUCGGCCACACUGGGACUGAGACACGGCCCAGACUCCUACGGGAGGCAGCAGUAGGGAAUCUUCCGCAAUGGACGAAAGUCUGACGGAGCAACGCCGCGUGAGUGAAGAAGGUUUUCGGAUCGUAAAACUCUGUUGUGAGGGAAGAACAAGUACCAAGUAACUACUGGUACCUUGACGGUACCUCACCAGAAAGCCACGGCUAACUACGUG